rnacentral:rRNA from 1 species
CCUACGGGUGGCAGCAGUGGGGGAUAUUGGUCAAUGGGGGAAACCCUGAACCAGCAACGCCGCGUGAGGGAAGACGGCCUUCGGGUUGUAAACCUCAGUUUUCAGGGAUGAAACAAAUGACAGUACCUGACAAGUAAGCUACGGCUAACUACGUGCCAGCAGCCGCGGUAAUACGUAGGGAGCAAGCGUUGUCCGGAUUUACUGGGUGUAAAGGGCGUGUAGGCGGGAACACAAGUCAGACGUGAAAUACCCGGGCUCAACUUCGGGGCUGCGUUUGAAACUGUAGUUCUUGAGUGAAGUAGAGGCAGGCGGAAUUCCUAGUGUAGCGGUGGAAUGCGUAGAUAUUAGGAGGAACACCAGUGGCGAAGGCGGCCUGCUGGGCUUCAACUGACGCUGAGGCACGAAAGCAUGGGGAGCAAACAGGAUUAGAUACCCCAGUAGUC